CAGGUUCCUGCCUAGUUGCAAGGUCGGUUGCUCCUCUGGGGAUGAGACAAAAAGUUCGUUUCUGAAGCAGGAGUCAUGGAAGUUCAGUGACAAGAAAAAGGUCAAGUUGAAUUGGUGAUGGCCUGGAAAGCAGCGGAUGAUCUUGAGGUCCUUGAUGUCUGACCAAGCUCUAAGUAUUCCAUAGUACCUGCUCCAGCCAUCUUCAUGACCAUUGGAACAAAUGUUCUCAUUCGCUGGUUCUUCUCGGGGAAGAUUUCACAUGCUUGGGGUAGACACUCUCUCAACUCACCAACAGAUGAGAAAACUGAAGUUCAUAGAGAUGGUCACUCAUCAGACUUUCUGAUCCCAAGCCCAGCUUUUACAUUGCCAAUACAAUUUUGUCCAAGAGCCCCAGAAUGCCUGACAUUCUCCUUUAACCAUUGGAAUUCUUCGUGAUCUUUGAGGAGGAGCAGAGGUAAAACUGGGAAUACAUCUGCACUUUCUGUUGGGGAGUUUGUAUGCCCCCAGAAUAAAAAAGGUCCCGUUCUCUGCUGCUAAUCAGGUAUGAUUACCAUAGGGAUAUAACAUAGGUUCAUCUGGGUCUCUUUUGUCAUGAUUUUUCCCAUUGACCCUUUGGACUUUUCUUGGAUACUUGGAUCCGAUAGUGGAUAUUUUCUGUUGCUGAAUCUCAAGGAUAGUUGUUUCUCACUCCACUCCUAAGGAUGGAUAUUCAUAUGGUUUUUGUUGUUAAUGUUG